GCUGCUAUCAACUCAGCCUGUUCUCUAAACCAUCUGGUUACUUGGCUAAGGUUGGGUUGAGUCUCAGCCCAGUAGGCUCAUGGGAUGUGCUGUCUGACUUUUAUCUCCCAGGAACCCAUGCAGGGUGUGCAACUCACCAGGAAGGCUGGCUAGUUGUUUGCUUGAGUUGGUCCCCCAGGUCCCAGCACGGCCGAUUCUCAGGAGAUGCUGACUUUUCUCUCCCUGAAACAAGUAAAUAAAAAAUUAAAACAUGAGGCUAACAAGCUACAAAUUCAGAGACCCUGAUGUGUAAACUCCUGCAGUGGACAAAUUGGUUACCAAAGCUCAGACCGCUCAGAUCCAAAUGCCCUGAGAGCCACUACAUUGGGGUAAUUGUGAGACCCUAAUGCUUUAACCUAAAAUAAAGAUCUUGGUAUAAUC